AUUGAACGCUGGCGGCAGGCCUAACACAUGCAAGUCGAGCGGAUGAAGGGAGCUUGCUCCUGGCUUCAGCGGCGGACGGGUGAGUAAUGCCUAGGAAUCUGCCUGGUAGUGGGGGAUAACGUCCGGAAACGGGCGCUAAUACCGCAUACGUCCUGAGGGAGAAAGUGGGGGAUCUUCGGACCUCACGCUAUCAGAUGAGCCUAGGUCGGAUUAGCUAGUUGGUGGGGUAAAGGCCUACCAAGGCGACGAUCCGUAACUGGUCUGAGAGGAUGAUCAGUCACACUGGAACUGAGACACGGUCCAGACUCCUACGGGAGGCAGCAGUGGGGAAUAUUGGACAAUGGGCGAAAGCCUGAUGCAGCCAUGCCGCGUGUGUGAAGAAGGUCUUCGGAUUGUAAAGCACUGUAAGUUGGGAGGAAGGGCAGUAAGUUAAUACCUUGCUGUUUUGACGUUACCAACAGAAUAAGCACCGGCUAACUUCGUG
rnacentral:rRNA from 1 species